rnacentral:rRNA from 1 species
UGCAGUCGAGGGGUACAGGGAAGCUUGCUUCCGCUGACGACCGGCGCACGGGUGCGUAACGCGUAUAGAAUCUACCUUAUACUGGAGGAUAGCCCGAAGAAAUUCGGAUUAAUACUCCAUAACAUUCAGAUACUGCAUAGUAUUUGACUUAAAGUUUCGGCGGUAUAAGAUGACUAUGCGUCCCAUUAGCUAGUUGGUAAGGUAACGGCUUACCAAGGCAACGAUGGGUAGGGGGCCUGAGAGGGUUAUCCCCCACACUGGUACUGAGACACGGACCAGACUCCUACGGGAGGCAGCAGUGAGGAAUAUUGGUCAAUGGAGGCAACUCUGAACCAGCCAUGCCGCGUGCAGGAUGACGGCCCUAUGGGUUGUAAACUGCUUUUAUAUGGGAAGAAACCCCUCUACGUGUAGAGGGCUGACGGUACCAUACGAAUAAGCAUCGGCUAACUCCGUGCCAGCAGCCGCGGUAAUACG